UGUGAAUGAUGACUCUUUUAUCCUGACUCUAAAAUGGAGGCAUAAACUGAUUUAAUGAGCCUGACAC